AACUGUAGAAUCAAACAUGAAAACAUUUUAAAGUUUUGAUUAUUGUUACAUGUAUUUUCUGUGUUGAUCAGUUGAUUUGUCGACUAUUAGAAUUCCUCUCAUGAAACAUCUGUAACUGAUGUAUUAACAGUUAGUGAAAGCUUGGUAACAGUAUACUGUGACUGUACACACAUGAACUAUUUAUUGAAAGUAUUUAUCCACUUUUAAAUGUUAGUAAAUAAUCAUUCACACUUUAAAAUAGUUUGUAAAUGUGUUCAAAACUCAUGAAUACAUAAACCGAAUUAUCAUUAUUCUGUCAAACCAUUAUUGUGUAUUAAGUGUUUAUAUCCUGCUUAUAAAUGUUAAAUAUGGGUUUAAAAUGGCCAGAAAGGCACAUGUGAUGCUGAAAGUAGGAACAGUGAAGGGACUUCUGCUUUUAGCCAGCUGUCACGAAACCACAGAUCAUUUAGAGAAACGUCUUGUCUUUUUAAUAUCACAAGACACCGCUCUCACUGUAUGAAAUAAAUUCCCAGCUAGAGUGUCUCCUGUAAAAAAGUGUCUCCCGUCAUCGAACGGGAACCGACCGGGAUUGGCUUUGUUUCUGCGGGGAUUUAUUUGUGUGAAACACCGCGUUUCAUGUAACGUUCAUGGAUGUCUGGUAACGUCGUCAAAGUUUAUAAACUACAUCAGCUGCAGUCAUGAGAAAUAUAACUUAGCCUGUAAGUUGUUGUGAACUUGCCGUCUGUGUCAGCAUUAACGCAGUCUACGAUGUCUCCUGAGUGUUUCAGCAGUUUGAAAUGUUAGCCUGCUAGUUCUUUUAUUUAGCCUGUUAGCUGGGUCUGCUUUUAUUCAGCCUGUGUAGAUUUGUAAACAUGGAGCAGACAGCCAGCGUUAACGCAGAUCCUGCUCAAAGCUCCGACAGUAAUGGUCGUUGGCGCAACUGGACUGGCUUUUGAUAACAGGCUUCAAAGUAAAGAGAUUGGAUGGCACAAUAACACAGACUGCAGAGAAAGACAGAGGCAUCACUCUCUUCCAGACAGACCAGCGUCAGUAUAAUGUCAGCAUAGACACUCUGUGUAAGUAACUUGCUCCCUUUAAGCACAUAGCUGAUCUACAGAACACAUGGCAGCUUCAAUAUAUUUUGCCCAGAGACAGAGAAACCAACUAGGAGUCUGAAACUCACUAUAAAGCUGUGUAAAGCUGAGGGGAGCUGCAGAGUCGCUGAUAAUUCUCUGUAGGUUCAUCACUACUAGUGACACUUCUCACAUCACACACUGUCAUUUCAUACAUUAUAGCUGCUUUAAUAGAACCCUGUGGAGUUCUUGACCACUAUUAGUACUUUGGAGCAAUUUUCUGUGUGUUGCCUUCAGGGCCACUGAACAAAUGGAUUUUGACGUGUUGUCAUGUCAUCUCCAUGACAACUGCACAAACUCCAUUUGCUAUGGAAGACCAUGAGCUGCAGGUAAAAGCUUUAGAAAUCCUGGUAAGGCAACCUUGAGUGAAGAUGAUUUUGUCAAACAUUCAAUUGUUGUUUGUAGAUUUCACUGAUAACAAAACGUUAUAUUAUCAGUGGCACUAGAUGAGAGAUCACCAAAGUCAUACUGAUUCAUGAAUGUCCAAUCUAUCCUAUAAUUAUUGAGAUAUUUUAGUCUGUAGUGGUGGACUGACUGAUCAGCUGUCCAUUGCUUGAGUCAAGCUGCCAGCAAGGCCAACAAAUCAGAUUUUAAAAAAUGUCACUAAGAAAAAGUUGAUUAAUUUCAGAGCUACACAAGAGAACACUUUUCUCACAUGUAUUGAAAGUGCGUUAAUUUCAGGGAAAUGCAUCCAGCUGUUCUGAAAAUAUCUGAAAAUUGCAUAAA